rnacentral:rRNA from 1 species
GACGAACGCUGGCGGCGUGCUUAACACAUGCAAGUCGAACGAAGUGGCGAACGGGUGAGUAAUACGUGGGUAACCUGCCCUUCAGAGGGGGACAACAGUUGGAAACGACUGCUAAUACCGCAUAAUGAAGGAGGGGAUUGCGUCGGAUUAGCUAGUUGGCGGGGUAACGGCCCAACAAGGCGAUGAUCAGUAGCCGGUCUGGGAGGGUGAACGGCCACAUUGGGACUGGGACACGGCCCAGACUCCUACGGGAGGCAGCAGUGGGGAAUCUUCCGCAAUGGACGAAAGUCUGACGGAGCAACGCCGCGUGAGUGAUGACGGCCUUCGGGUUGUAAAGCUCUGUUAGUCGGGACGCGGUACCGAAAUAGAAAGCCACGGCUAACUACGUGCCAGCAGCCGCGGUAAUAC